rnacentral:piRNA from 1 species
UGGCUAAAGAUUCAGACCCAUGGUAAG